GAGAGAAGGUAAAGAUUUUCAUACUCAAGGUCCCAAAUAGAUGACGCGUAUUCAAGUUUAGGCCGUAUUAGUAAUUUAUAAAGUACGAGUUUUAAAGGCUAUGGAGCAGAAGAGAAGUUGCGACCAUUCGCCCAUCACCAUGGUGGAGGUCCCGGCUGCGAACAUCCUCCUCCUCCCAUGCCUCCGCCGUCGAACGACACCAGUAC